CUCACUGUGAGGGAAGGGCCUGGCAGCGCUACCAGGGUGGGCUCCUUGUGAGCUGCUCCUGCCCGAGCUGAAGGGAGCUUGCAGGUGUUAUAAACGGCUGAGUCAUUCCAGGCCUGUCCUGGGGAGAUGGCACAGGGGGAAUCUUGUGCAAGGCCAGGGCAGCGGUGGCAUGUGAUGGGACAGUAAAAGUAAAAGGGAUAGGAUUAUUCCUCUUCCGCUGCUGUCCUCUUCCCUAAUAAUCACAAGGGAUCGGUGUCUUUCAUGGGAGCAGAGGAAAGUGAAACUUCUGUGACUUCAAGGAGUGGACACAGGUUCGUGCCACAUCCUGUAGGAUGUUAGAAUGAGCUGCUUAGAACACCAAGAUGGGAAGUUGGUCCUGCCCUGAAAAGCUGGCAAGUUAUAUCUACCAGAAAAAAUGUUUUUAGACCACAGAGCACAGGGCAGCCUCCAGGGAAGCCAGCAUGCCUCAAACCACUGGAGGACUCUACCACUGCAGGCAGCCUCUGUGGAAGAUGAGGAGAGAUUCCAGACCAAGACAGGGCUGAGGGCUGUUCUGACUUGGAAAAUGCUUACAGACUCACGAUGAGAAUUACGAUAGCACCGGAAUGUGCUAUCAUCAGUGGAGAAAGUCAACAAAUUAAGGACUACUUGAUUUCCCUUGUGAAUUCUGCUAUCAUUUAUGUGAGAUGUAAUUAAUUCAUUGUCGAAAAUCUAUGCAGUGGAACAAGUAAAACUUGUAUUACACUGUGCUUUCCACAGGAUAGGGGAAUCUCAGCUUCAUGCAGGGUUUUGUUUUGUUUUGGUUUUGUGUUUC
rnacentral:lncRNA from 1 species